CUGAGGGCCUACCGCGAACCACGUUCGACGUGUUACCUCCCUGUCACACUUACGUACGAAUUCACAAGUGCGACACAGAGGCAACACUUCGAAUGUAGUUCGCGGUAGGCCCUUAGAAUGGUCGUUAGCCAGUGUGUUAGCCACAUCUCUUGCAUACUCCAAUACCGAGACUGAUGAUGUUGUAGCUUUUAACCACGGCUGUCCCUUUCUGUCCGGCGUCGAUCAGCUGCAAACGAAAGGGACGGCAAGCGUGCGAUCUACAAAGCAAUAUGUGCCAACUGCCUAUGAUCGCCGUAACCUUUCGACUUGGUUACGGUAUGUAACCUAUAUCGGCAUUUUUAGGAAAAAGUACCAUUUAUUGUUUUUGAAAAACUAUCCAUUUUGGGUUCUUUUCUACUCAGAAUCACGCGGACUAUCGAUUGAAAAAGGAAAAAAGGGUCCAAAAAAAAACAGGAUUUGGGGGAUUUUCACAUAGGUACAGUCGCCAUCAGAUAUAUCGGAGCGGCCGAGGUGUUCACAAUAUCUGAAGACGCACUCUAAUGCCUUGACAAUAGAGGCGUGCUCAGAUAUUUGUGAGCACCUUGGCCGCUCCGAUGUAUCUGAUGGCGACUGUACGUUUUGUGUGGAUCCUCGCAGUGACACCUAAAAUUUUUAUGAAAAUUUGGGGACACUAUUUUUCUUUUUUCUUUUAUUAAUAGCCCUCGCGAUUCUUAGUCCAAAUAACCGGAAAGGUGAUAGUUUUUCAAAAAAGAAUUUAGAUCGUACACUUUUUUCUAAAAACCCAAUGUGUAAAGAAUUUUUUAACGAGCUUUAAGAAUUCGUCUAAUUAAUCCAUAUAGGUAGUGCAAUACUAGGGUUCUAAAAUCAAAUUGAGGAUUGUUUGACAGACCAAAUAUUUUUAUUACCAAAAAAACUGGGAACGCUAAAUGACGCUGGUUGCCAUUUCAAUUUGUAAACUUUUUAAAUUUUGUGUCUUAUUUGCAAGAAAAGGAACCGCAUAAAGCUAAUGAUUAAACGAUUUGAGCUUACGGUUUAAAAAAUAUAAAUGACGCAGAAACGAGUGCAGGGAAGUGUCCUUUUCUUGCGGAAUGCCACAUUUUAUUAUAAUAUACUAUUUUGUCAGCCUUCUUGUAUAUGUAUUUAUUUGGUCGUGACAAAAUAAACUUCACAAUUGUUUUGUACUAUUUAUUCUAAAAGAAACUUAAGUGUGUUUUAUCUGUACCUCUAGUGUAAUUCUGUGGCCCUACGUGACGUGACGUACGCGUUUUCGUUAAGUGUAUGGGAAAGUAAUUUUGUAUGGGAUUUUGAGUUUCAAAAAUAGACAUAAGCCCCCAUUCGGCAGCUUUUUCAACGCGCGUUAAAAAAGCGUUUGAAUGACACAAAUGGAUACAGGUGUAUUUAUUCACACGACAGCGGUGGCGCUUUUUAUCAAACGUUGUUGGAUUUUCGACUUUAAGCCUUAAAUCGAUAAAUCGAAUUUAGACAUGCGGACAGAUACAAACGCUUUUUUAACGUGCGUUGAAAAACCUGUCGUGCGAAUGGGGGCUAACGCAAACGCGAACGCAAGUCUCGCUAUCGAAUAUAAUUGACACUAGCGGCCCGAUUCGAACAUUAAGAUACGUCAGUUAAUAGAUCUAGAAACGAUAUGGAUUAGAUAUGUCAGUGUCAAAUGUGACGUUUCUUCAAACAAAAACGUCACUUUUGACACUGACACAUCUAAUCCAUAUCGUUUCUAGAUCUAUUAAUUGACGUAUGUUAAAGUUCGAAUCGGGCAGUAGGGGUUCUGUUCUGUAAUUUUGUUUUAGUUUUGUCACUUUGCCUAAAUACUAGGUGGAUUAAGGAAAUGUAAAAAUAAUAUAAUAAAGAGAGAAAUUUAUUUUAAUUGUAAUAAUAUUGCGAAGCAAAAAUGCUCAUGUAUAUAAAGAUGAUGUAGUGUAUAAAGUUCUAAUAUGUUAGAAAUACAAUACAAACAUCUGAA